rnacentral:rRNA from 1 species
UACGUAGGGGGCAAGCGUUGUCCGGAGUUACUGGGCGUAAAGCGCACGCAGGCGGUCGUGCCAGUUUCUUCUGACAGGUCAGAGCUUAACCCUGGCAGGCGAAGAAAGACGACACGACUUGAGGACUUGAGAGGGACGCGGAAUUCCAGGUGGAGCGGUGAAAUGCGUAGAGAUCUGGAAGAACACCGAAGGCGAAGGCAGCGUCCUGGCGAGUCACUGACGCUCAUGUGCGAAAGCUAGGGGAG